rnacentral:rRNA from 1 species
UACGUAGGGUGCAAGCGUUAAUCGGAAUUACUGGGCGUAAAGCGUGCGCAGGCGGUUAUGUAAGACAGGUGUGAAAUCCCAGGGCUUAACCUUGGAACUGCAUUUGUGACUGCACGGCUAGAGUGUGUCAGAGGGGGGUAGAAUUCCACGUGUAGCAGUGAAAUGCGUAGAGAUGUGGAGGAAUACCGAUGGCGAAGGCAGCCCCCUGGGAUAACACUGACGCUCAUGCACGAAAGCGUGGGGAGCAAACAGG